GACAGAGGUGGCUAGCGUUGUUCGGAUUCAUUGGGUGUAAAGGGUGCGUAGGCGGUUUGGAAAGUCAGAUGUGAAAGCCCACAGCUCAACUGUGGAAAUGCAUCUGAAACUUCUAGACUAGAGUGUGACAGAGGUGAAGGGAAUUCCCGGUGUAAGGGUGAAAUCUGCAGAGAUCGGGAGGAACACCAGUAGCGAAGGCGCUUCACUGGGUCGCAACUGACGCUGAGUGCACGAAGGCGUGGGGAGCAAACGGGAUUAGAAACCCUAGUAGU
rnacentral:rRNA from 1 species